AACGAACGCUGGCGGCAUGCCUAACACAUGCCAGUCGAACGAGACCUUCGGGUCUAGUGGCGCACGGGUGCGUAACGCGUGGGAAUCUGCCCUUGGGUUCGGAAUAACAGUUGGAAACGACUGCUAAUACCGGAUGAUGACGUAAGUCCAAAGAUUUAUCGCCCAAGGAUGAGCCCGCGUAGGAUUAGCUAGUUGGUGAGGUAAAGGCUCACCAAGGCGACGAUCCUUAGCUGGUCUGAGAGGAUGAUCGGCCACACUGGGACUGAGACACGGCCCAGACUCCUACGGGAGGCAGCAGUGGGGAAUAUUGGACAAUGGGCGAAAGCCUGAUCCAGCAAUGCCGCGUGAGUGAUGAAGGCCUUAGGGUUGUAAAGCUCUUUUACCCGGGAUGAUAAUGACAGUACCGGGAGAAUAAGCUCCGGCUAACUCCGUG
rnacentral:rRNA from 1 species